rnacentral:tRNA from 1 species
GCUUACUUAGUAUAAACAAUACUUAUGACUUCCAAUCAUUAAAUCUUAAUUUACCUUAAGAGAGAGCA